ensembl:lncRNA
CAUUACUUGUCUCCUGGGAAGUUCUCCCUUAGACUCAGUCAGACCUGUGCACCUUCCCUAUGGCAGUAUGCCAGUGCAGAGCUGUGGUGGUAGCUGACCCACUUACUGCACCCUGUGAAGGUACUGAUGCAACCUGCAAGACCACCUACAUCAUCUCAGAGCCUGGCCCAUGGCCAGCAGUUAAAAUUCAAACAUGGGUGUCUGAGAGGAUCCUUCCAAGGGACUGAGCAUGCGUGCAUUGCAGCCUCUGCCUUGUCAUGGGCUUUUGCCAAAAAAGAUAGUUGUUGUCCAAGGAACAGUUGCCUUGAGACACCAGGCAGUGUUGGAUUCUGUCCUUUGUGGUUCACUUACUGAGCGCAGGCAGGGUUUGUUAGAAAAGGCUUUCCUAUUCAUGAGACACUUAAAGUGCUUAUCACAAAAAAGCAAUACUUGUGCCAGCUGCCAGCUAACCACACAUUCUCAUUUGUAACUCUUAAUGCUCAUGUCCUUCAGCUGCACCGGCCCGAGGCACGUUGGAUGUCACACAGCUAUUCCCUGAAAUAGAGCCUGUGAUGUGCACACUGCAAGAGCAGGCACUGCCAACACACAGGCAGCGUGGCACUGCCAUCACACACAGCACAGGUCCGUGAGGGGCUUUGCCACACGCACAGGUAGGUAUUUCUUGAAGGAAGGUAGCUGGGGUGCACGGCACAAGUGCACAUAUGCAUGAGGUCACCUUUGGAAACAGGAACCAUGCAGAUUGCAAACUGCAAUUUCUGGCUUCCUGCAAUGAGAUUUCAAAAGGCAAUGAUCCUUUAACAAAUCAACAGCCCGGUUCCAAAUGCCUGUUAACCAAGGUGGGAGGGAACGAGCUUGGGGAGGGAAGAUUUUCCCUACAGAGCAGGUCACAUCUGGCUGUGAGCUCAGCAUCUGUCUGGUACCAGAGCCGUACCAAAGGCUUCUUAAGCUCCUGGGCCUGCCCCCAGUGGAGGCAGUGGCAGAGGAGCGGUGAGGAGGGGCUUUCUGCAGUCAUUCACUGACUGGCAGUGAGCAGAGGACUGAGGCUGUGUAGCAGCUGUGGAAGUGAGGAAGAUGAGGAGCAUACAGGGAAGUACACUUGGGAGAUUGGAGGGUCUUUGCAGUGGGAUGGAAUGAGGAUUCCUGCAACUUGAGUGUUCACAUUCAUCAGGAAAUGGUGUCAGUGGCUGUUGGCUGCCAGGAGAGGAGUAUUUUGGAUGCUCCUCCCGUUUGCCUGACUGUUCUGAGAUGCUAAAAGGGGAAGGAAGAAAGGAAGAACAAACAUUGGCCGGGGGGGAAGCUGGCAUGGCUGGUGCUGCCCUGUGUGUCUGUACCUGUGUGACUGGCUGCAGCUGGAUGGUUGGCAAGCAGUACAGUUUGCAGAGAUUCUUGAAUUGGUCUGAUGUUCUGAGGAUGUUUAUCCCAGAACACCUGGUGUGGGCAGCCGGAUUGUAGUGGAACUGAUACCUACUUCUAUGAAAUCUGGUUGAGCUGAGGAUCUGAGCAAAUACCUUCUAGCCAGAGCAAAGGUAGGAGGAAGGUGGCAUGAAGUCCUAGAUCCUGUGCUGCCACGCUGCUCUGAAGGAACAUGUGGCCAUGCCAUAAGUCACAUGUCCUGGCAGGGAGAGCAGCAAGCAUUACUGGCUGGCAGCCCUUGCAGAAGGGUGAUGCCACAUGAAAAUCCACGUGUUCAUUACUCAUGAGUUACAUGUUUGCUGCCCAUCCUCACCUUCCCACAGCAUUAUACACACAGGGUGGUGGAGCUUUCUGUGCCUGUCCCUGGAUGUUGUGCUAUUUCCUCUUGCUGCACUUUGUUUGGGGUAACAUGUAUUGUUUCUGUUGCAGUGGGUUUCAGGAGUCACUAGCAACAGUGAUACACUGCACUAUUCCUCCAAAGACCAGUGAGGGUUUGCUUCUUCCCCUAAUAUCAAUGGGAAAGCUGGUAUAUCUGGUACCUGAAGUAAUGUGAUCAGCUAGAAAACGUUAAGUAGUCCCUGAACCUGAUCCUGGCAUUAGUUGUCAACCCCCAUCAUGACAGUGAAUUUCUGGGUUAUGCAGCCUUUCAUGGACACGUGAGAGGCGCAUAAUGGAAAGCCAUCUUAGUGCUGCAAACAGCACUACAGUCACACUCUGUUCUUGCCAGCAGCCAACCACGAUGCCUGGGAAAUUGUGCAGGUGGUUUCAGAAAAUGGUAAGUAGUCUAUUAGCACCGAGAAGGGGGAAAAAAACCCCUUGGGAGUUUUCCCCCACGACCAUCUGUUAAUUUUCUCCUGAAGCCAUUACGAAUUUGCAUAGGAUAGCAUGCUCAGUGCCCUGCAAGUGGUGCUGUGGUCAGAGGGCUGCGUUGCUGCUGCUGGACCAUGCAGCCUUCCCUUAGCACACCAACAUGCUUCCUCAGCGUGUGCCUCAGCACUUCACAUGCCUGGCAGUUGUCAGCCUCAGACAGGUGCUUCUGCUCUCCCAUAAGCCCUGGGCUUUGCUGCACCUCACAGAGGGGAGCACCCUUCGUUCACCUGCCAGCCUUCUUCCGUACAGCUUCUAUAGCCUGUUCUGUCCUAACAGAGGCCUUGCUUAAAAGCUGCUGUAUCUACAUUCAUUUAGAGGUGCUCAGGUGCUUAGCUACAGCCCCAGGUCACUGUAGUAUUUCACGCUGUCUUAGAGAUGAAAUGCUGGGAGUGCUCGUUGUCUGCAUUCCUCUUUGCACUUGCAUUUUGCCCAACAGACACGUGUGGCACAGUCAAAAUAACCACCAACCUUUGUGACAGAUGUCAGCACGCUGUGUGUGCCCCGCAGCACCCAUAGGCUCUGCAGCUCAUGGUGGUCCUGGGGCCGGAGCCAGCAGGGAUGGCAUCUCUCCCUCUGCCUUGUGCCAAGCUGCAGAGGGCAUGAGAUUGUUGGAGCAGUGGCCGUACGGCACGGCUGGCAGCUGCUUCUGCUGUUAGCUGGGAGUCCCUCGUGUUGCCCGCAGUAGGAAAUGCAGUGACAACCCAAAGGUGAGUGGUGGUGGAAACCCAGUGGGUUAUGGGCCGAAUUACACAUUUGAGAAGAGUUUUCAAAGCUUUUUCUUUUCAUGUCCUUUUGAGGUACCAGAAGGAGGUGUUUCCCCCAGAUCACGGUCUGGGCGCAACGUGAACAGCUCUGCUCUAUACAGUGACACCUGAGAGCAAUUGCUAGAAGUGAUUUGGCCUGUAGCUCCAUCCCUACGUUUCAUGUGUGUGUACUGGGUGUGCUGAGUGGUUUCCAAAGGAACUAUCUGGGCAUUGAGGCAAAUGGGAAACUGGCUGUGAAGCAGUUGCUGCAAUAAGUGAAACUUAGAAGCAACUUUUGCUUUAUCUGCAAAAUAGGGUGUUUUCCAGGCUUUUUUUGGUGCAUUUGGGCUUGUGUGAUGUUUCUUCAAAGAAAUGUUAUCAUUCGUGCAUUUUUACAGUAAAUAACUCUUGAAAAAAUGUGUCUUUGAGCAGUGCAAAUUGACACAGAGAGCAUGUUGCUAUUUAAGAAUUACCUGAGUACAGUUCUUCGGCCUUUGGAAGAAGUCAAGCUUUUUCCCUCCUCCUGUAAAUUAAGAGACAUGGACCAAAGUGUGUCAGGGAGAGAGCCUUACCCAGGAGGGAGUUAGAGCAGUGCUGGGAUAGAAGCUUUUGAAGUUAUACCCAGGAUACUAAUAGGAAAACCUGAAGUUUUUAAGUCUGCAGACACCCAUCCCAACAGCUCCUCUGCAAGGUUGAAGAUCAGAGAGAGAAAGUUCAGUUCUUUGAUCCUCGAAGAUAAAAUCUCAGAACUGAAGUCUCUUGACUGUCUGGACUUGUGAUGUAUGCUGUGGGCCAUCCAUCAAGUCUGUACCACCCCAGUUUGCUUUGAACAGGAGACAGUGUUACAGGCUGUGCUAAAACCGAGAUUGUCUGAGGGUCCCUCAUUGGCUUCAUGACGGAAAGUGGUUGAUUCACCUCCACCCAGCGGUAAUUACGUGUUGCUGCCUACUGGAAGUUCUCAUGCUUGGCAUUGGACUGUAUAAACCAUUCCCCUUUGCCCUGUGCCCCUCCUGCUUGUGAGCUCCCUUCUGGAAGGCCACAGUGAGCCUUUUCUUAAGUGAUACGUUUGGGAAACAGUACACAGAAAAUAUCCACGCAAGAAAGGCAUUCUGCAAGAAAGAGCUGCUCAUUUCCAUAUGCAUGCUGCAAACUUAAACACAAUGGUCCCAUUUUAUCAUUUGUUAUUUCAACUUUGCUGAUGAUUCAGUGGUGUUAUUCCGGUGAAAAUCUGGAGAAGAGCAGUGAAUCAGCUCCCUGGCUCUGCUUCGUGCUAUCUAAAAUGAGGAUCCACCUACAGUUGGUUCCUUUCCCAAAGUUGGCCUUAAAGGACAUCCCACAUAAAUCUACUCUCAGCCAGUGCCUGCAGAUGUAGCCCUCUCCCAUGCGCUUACCUCUCCUGCACCCCGUUAAUGGAUUGAUUACUGGACAGAGCCCCGCCGUGUGAUGGUGCUGGGCACGCUCAGCAAGAAGCAGCAAUUCUUGCUUUGAGCAUCAGCCAUCACAGGAGGACCUGAGGACCUGAGCAAUGAACCGAGUGUGCAGAUGUAUUUGCAGGGUGAUGGAUGAUUGAGGUGAGAUGUCUUUGACACACUGAUGGACUGGGAGGAGGGGCUUUGCUGGAUGCCUGAUGACUGCCCAUGGGAUACAGCUGGAAAAGGUCUUUUGUUUCCUCGACGUGGUAAGAGCAUCACCUUAGGAGUGUCCCUGCUGCUGCCCACAUCCAGCAGAGCCUUGGGCCCAGCGUGGCUCAGAGCUCCACUCCCAAGCUCACAGUGCAAGCAGUGUCACACAGGCUGCUGUCCUCAGUGUGACAUCAGCACCAAUGGCACUGCUGGCCCCCAUGGAUUUGCAGGAGCUUUUUCACCUUGCCAGAGGCCCCUGGGGUCUUCAACCCAGGUGUCAGCAGGUGAAGGCUGACACCACCUGCAGCUGGAAGGAGCUGAUGGUGUCAGGCUGCAGGGACAGCUGGGUGGCACCACUGCAAGAGCAGCAAGUUGCUGACCAUCCCAGCAGAGGGGGGAGGGGGACCAUGACCUGCUGAUUCCCACUGCAGGCACAGCCUUGGUGGCAAAGUUUGGCUGUAGCACAUGGGAGAUGAGCCUUAUGCGUAAUCACACCACACAGACUGCAGGAGAGAAGCAAAGGCUCCAUUCUGCUGUGACACCCAGCCCCUGCCUGCACGGAGCAGCUGUCGCUGCCAAGGAGACACCAGGUGAACUCAGGAGAAGUGAAACGUCAUGAGAAAAAAUGGGGAAUGAACCAGAGAGAAAGAAUCUUAGAAUAAUACCAACGUAAACACAGGCCUAGUUUUUAUCUUGUGCAGAGAGAUUGUUUUUUGAGAACAAAUGCAGAGUGAAAUGAAUUCAUAAACUUCUGUACCAGGUGCAAUCAUUAGUCAGUAAAUGAAUUACACAUAAUUAUCUGCUUUGUAUUUAAUUCACUUGGCUUCCAGUUUCUUACGCUUCAUACAGUGAAACUCUCUAUCUCUCUCACACAAACACACUCUCCAUGGGCAAGGAGGUUUUGGAGGGCUGCCAUCAUCCUGACUCAUGAAUCAGGCUCCAUGAUUUGAAUGAUAUUUAUCUAAGCCUGCAAACAAAGAAGAUGGCUAUGUGUCCAAUGAGAGAAUAAUUAUUGUUAUUAUGUUUAUAGAGCAACAAAGUCGGGAGUUAGGACCCCGGGGGAAAGGCGGCAGGAAGGGCGAGCUGGG